GAUGAACGCUGGCGGCGUGCUUAACACAUGCAAGUCGAACGGUGAAGGCGGAGCUUGCUCUGCUGGAUCAGUGGCGAACGGGUGAGUAACACGUGAGCAAUCUGCCCCUGACUCUGGGAUAAGCGCUGGAAACGGCGUCUAAUACUGGAUACGAGCUGCGAAGGCAUCUUCAGCAGCUGGAAAGAACUUCGGUCAGGGAUGAGCUCGCGGCCUAUCAGCUUGUUGGUGAGGUAACGGCUCACCAAGGCGUCGACGGGUAGCCGGCCUGAGAGGGUGACCGGCCAACCGGGGACUGAGAAACGGCCCAGACUCCUCCGGGGGGCAGGGGGGGGGAAAAUGGCAAAAGGGGCGAAAGCCGGAUGCAGCAACGCCGGGGGGGGGACGACGGCCUUCGGGUGGUAAACCUUUUUUAGCAGGAAAGAAGGGAAAGUGACGGUACCUGCAAAAAAAGCCCCGGCUAACUACGU
rnacentral:rRNA from 1 species